rnacentral:rRNA from 1 species
GUGAGGUAACGGCUCACCAAGGCUUCGACGGGUAGCUGGUCUGAGAGGACGAUCAGCCACACUGGAACUGAGACACGGUCCAGACUCCUACGGGAGGCAGCAGGAGGGAAUAUUGCGCAAUGGGCGAAAGCCUGACGCAGCAACGCCGCGUGAGGGAUGACUGCCUUCGGGUUGUAAACCUCUUUCAGUGGGGACGAAAUUGACGGUACCCACAGAAGAAGCAUCGGCCAACUACGUGCCAGCAGCCGCGGUAAUACGUAGGGUGCAAGCAUUGUCCGGAUUUAUUGGGCGUAAAGAGCUCGUAGGCGGCUUAACAAGUCGGCCGUGAAAUACCGAGGCUCAACCUCGGGGAGUCGGUCGAAACUGUUAUAGCUAGAGUACGGUAGAGGAGAGUGGAAUUCUCGGUGUAGCGGUGGAAUGCGCAGAUAUCGAGAGGAACACCAGUAGCGAAGGCGGCUCUCUGGGUCGUUACUGACGCUGAGGAGCGAAAGCGUGGGGAGCAAACAGGAUUAGAUACCCUGGUAGUCCACGCUGUAAACGUUGGGAACUAGGUGUUGCGGUCUGAUCAAUGACUGCGGUGCCGAAGCUAACGCAUUAAGUU